GUGAAUCUCAUUGCAGCUGCUGACCACUGCACAAGAUUAGAUUAUGACUCUUGUGCGUGUGACAACGGCUAUUGUGGGCAUUCCGAGUCAUCCA
rnacentral:pre_miRNA from 11 species